UUUCUGUCCACCGGUUGGCAAGAUUUCCCACUCGCCAGAAGGGAAGGCUUCAGACCCCACAGAACGCAAAUCAUUUGUCCUGUGCUCACUUGAGUGCGAGAAGCCUACUAUCGGAAAACACCGUUGGUCUGUACUUUCUUCACUUUGGUGUGCGAGAAGAGAGGGUCCGUCAGUUCGGAGAUUGGCGUCUCUGGUUGAUUCACGUGUAAUAGUGAAAUCGGGUCCGCAUCUGUUUGUUUGGUGCACCAGUUGUGUGGUGAUGUGGUAUAUCGGUUGCCCCUUUCCCUUCCCAUUCACUUUCUCUUUUCGUCUUCCUCCCACGAGAUGGAGAACCAGGAAGCUCCCCCGUGGCGCAGCAGCACCAGAGGUGCAGGGCGUAGGGGCAGGUCCUCUCUCUCUCUCUCCAUCGCUGUUCUUCUGAGGUUCUGUUUAGUUUUGUGUGGAUUCAUGUAGUUAAUUUGAUUCGUCAUUCGAUCUAUGGAUGGAGGGGAUAAGUGGAGUCAAUUUAUACAUAGUUUUGCUGUGGAUUUGUGAUGUGGGACUUGAUCUGGUUCGUGCUUGAGAGGGAGAUUAGAGGCCAUUAGGGUUAGGUUUUUGCUGUGGAAUCACAACUUGUUUGUUCGUGGAUUAUUGUUGUGCUGAUACUUGUGUCUCUAUGCGAAUUAGAAGUAAGAAUCUUACAGAUAGGAAGAUUUUUGAGGUGGUUCUUUGCGUAUAGCCAGAAAUGAGCAUUCCUCUUUUUGUUGUGUGCUAGCAGCAUGUCUGAUAAAGUGUGCAGAUAGAGGCAGAGACGCGAGAGCUCAGGUUAAUAUCCAUUUCCUACUAAUCCUUUUCUAUACGUAAAUAGAUAUAGAUGCCAAAAUUUGUUCUCUGGCCGGCAACCUUGAUCAUUGCCAGCAAUAUUAUCUCCACUUUAAGAUGAUGCCCAUUCAUUUCUGUCAUUAACUUUUUUUUAUUUGCAAUUUAGUUCGAUUUGGGCUCAGUUUUUAAUAUUUGUAUAACUUGACUAGAUUUUUUUAGAGACAUAUAAGGUAUCUGGGUUUUUUAUUGUGUUCCAUUUGUAGUGAGUACUUGUGUAUCCUUUAAUUUUUGCAUAAGAGCUCCAAUUUGUUUUGGAAUCUUGUCGUAUACCUUUCUUUUGUGUAAAGUGCCUUGUGCAGUGUAAGAUGCAUAGGUGACAUUAAGACUAAUUUGUCCUUGAAUCUUUUCUUUUAUAUUAUAAUGUUGAAACUUGAAAGAUUCACUUGAUUUAUGUUUGAAGUGUGUUCCAUAUCAAGGAGGACAGGUUGAAGGAUAGCAGCUAAUAUGAUAAUUUUCAUGUUAUACUUUGAUUCAAUGCCUAUUGAAUUUUUCUGUGAGAGGAUCAUCUGUCCAUGUUUGCCUCUCCUUUUCUCCCAGAUUUAACCUACCAUUGCAUAACCUCUCUGAUCCUCCUGUUUGUGCCUCUUUAGUGUAGAUUCGUUACUUGUAGUUUGCAUCACUACCACUUGUGUGUUCCAAUUAUAGCUCUUUUCAUAAUUGCAAAUAGAUGAUGGUCCAAUUUUCAGGACCAAUUGGGGCCAAUGGUUUAUAAGGACGAUAUUAGCUACUCCAUCCGUUCCAAAUUAUAAGACAUUUCAACAAUCUUGGAGAGUCAAAAAAUUUUAUAUUUAAGCAAAUUUAUAUAAUAGAAUAAUGACAUUUAUUAUAUAAACUAAGUACCAUUAGAUUCUUUAUUAGUUAUAUUUUCAUAGUACAACAAUUUGAUAUCAUAAAUUUUUAUAUUUCUCUUUAUAAUCUUGGUCAAACUUGAGAUUGUUUUGACUCUCCAAAAUUCUUGGGAUGUCUUAUAAUUUGAAAUGGAGGGAGUAUGUUCCAUAGUAGUCUUAGGCUCUAGCAAACAAAGUAUUUUUCACAUAACUAAUUUUCAUGUAAGAAUCAGUAUCAUACCUAUGGAAUAUUUGAGUUUGUGAUAAUGUCAUUUUCUUCUUGAUGAGAUUGGUUACAACAUCCUAAUGAAUACUUGGUUUUGGACUUUUGGUUAUCAAUUAAGAAGAGUAUAUUUUUAGUGGUCAAAUACUGUUGUUCGCUAGUCUUUUCGUUGACGAUAAUUUGUGCAUAAGACAAACUAUAAGCAGGUUUUAUAUUUUUCAUGUCUAUAAUUUCUAAAGAAAAUGGAUGCACCCCUUUAUCAUUACGUGUACUGUAUGUGCCCCCUUUGCCUUGUUCUUUUAGACUUCUACUUUCAUGUUUCUUUUGGUGCAGGGGGCUAAGGCUCUACCGAGUGCACAAAUUCUGGUAUUCUUGUCAUGUAAUUGUGUUAGCUAAAAGUUCAGUGAACCAUGUUCAUAGUAGGAACUCAUUGCAAUUGUGCUAGCUGUAUCAUUGUCACCCAACAGCUAUAUUAUGGUUUCAUUGUGAUGCAUUGCAUUUUAGGCACUUUACUAAAUUGCUUUAGUGCUGACUGCAAAUAGAAUUGUUCAACUACUCCUUAUUCUGAUCAUGUGUCCUCUCUUACAUCUUAGGUCCUUAUCAACAAGUUACACCUCGAAUCAAGCAUGAUGCUAGUUUUCCCGCUCUGAGCUUUUGCUUUCUCUUGUAAGCAUAUUUGUGUAUUGAUUUGUUGGAGCUACCCAGCAUAGCUGAUGCCUUUGCUUCCGGUAGCUUUGCAAUGAUUUUAGAUUAUUUUACCAUAUACAAGAAUAUAGCUAUAGAUAGGUUUCAGUCUGCUGCAGAAUAACAUAAUUGCGCCAAUCCUAGCAUAGAUUGCAAAAUUUUGUGGAGCUCAUGAAACUCAAUCUCUCCAGCAACAAUGUUGUAGGUGUAAUGCCUUCCACGGUGGCCCACCUUCGAAGCCUCCCGUACUUGUGAGUGAAUAGUGAAGAAUUGGACAACUUGUACAUCAUUGCGUCUUUGAUAGCUAUUGUAAAUAAAUUGUACAUGCAUGUUUUUCUUGUAAGAAUGGAAGCCCAAAAAUUUUACAUUUUGUUCCAUUUCUUGUGUUCCUAAAAGAUUCAAAUGUAACAUUUUUUGUUAUUUUUUGAAAAUUUACUUGUAACUUUUCUUUUUGUGUUCCAAAAAAAUUAUAUGUACCUUUUUAU